GGUGUGCACCCUAAAGCACAAACACACACGCCACAUGUUUAUAUAUAUAUAUAUAUAUAUAUAUAUAAUAUAUAUAUAUAUACACAUACACACAUAUACUGCUGUGUGUGUGUGUGUGAGGGUGCUGUGU
rnacentral:miRNA from 1 species